UUGACCGGUUUUAUAUAGUUAAGGGACCCUAUAUAUCUGGUUUUGCGGUUGGAGGACGAUUUUGUAUCCGGAUGACAAGUGGAGGGACCUUCGGUGUACUUUUUCCAAAAUUUUACUCCUUAGGUAUAUCUCUAGUUAUGGCCUAUGGGCCCCCACUUCAAUUGGGAAGGACCCCACUCCCCUGAUUUACGUUCUUUCUAUCGCGAGCGCGUGUGUGUUGAGGCGUAGAACGUUCGUUCCCCGUCUCUCGAUCCCCAAGUCCAACCGGUAAAUCUGCAAAUUAGGAACUACUCCAGGAAACGUAAGGCCACCGUCAUCGUGCCCCAUCUGUUGCGCUUCCCCGCCGCAGGCCACAGUUCGCCUUCUGCCACUUUCUUGAUCGCUCAUCAUCACCGGCGCCUCGACGGCGCACUCCAUCCCAAGAAGAGAAGCAGUACAUCAGGCCGGCUGUUCUCUGCCUCCCCUGGUACGUACUCAUACAUAUACAUAUACAUACAUACAUACAACAUACAUACAUACACAUAUAUAUAUAUAUAUAGGGAUAAUCAAAAUAGAACCACGGUUCACCUGCACCCAGAAUCAGAACCGUUCAACCGUUCCAAGAUGUGUGCUUCCAAAAUGUACCAUACUUUCACAAAUGGAGAGUUAAAAAAAUUAGGGUGGUACAAUGCAUGUAUAACACUCUGACAUGGAGCAUGUACUUCCUGAGAAAUGAGAGAGAUGGUAGGUGAGAAGAAGUUGACCACGUCGUGUAGUAUUUAUUCCUCCAUUUAAAUAUUCUUUCUUUUCUCUUUUCUUGGUAUCCAUGCGUGGAAUGUACCAUACAUGUCCAUUUCGAAAAAUACUACUCCCUCCAUUCUAAAAUAUAAAAUAUAAGACACAAAUCACUCUUAACUUAAAAGACAAAAAAUAAUUAUUAUCACUUCAUAGUUUAGAUUACCCUAAUAAAUAUAAUGCAUGUACCCAAUAAAAUUAGAGAUGUUGAUUGUGUAGAAUUUAAAUAAUAAGAUUUUAGUGGAAAAGAUAAUGACAUGAAUGCAUGCACGCACGCUUUAUAUUAUGAAACAACUUUAAAAAAUAGUUGUGCAUUAUAUUAUGGAAUGGAGGGAGUAUCAUUUUGCAACGUAUUUUUUUUUACAUCUAUUCUGAUAUUUUCAUUGUGCUACAUUUUUCGCAUCAACAAACUAUAUUGAACAUUAUUUUCUCCGUAGAUUAUUAAUAAAAUUAUAUUUUUGAAUGUAGCAUAAAUAUGUAAAAUAACAAUCAUGUGUUUUUAUUUAAUAUAUGCCUAGUGAUAUAUCAUUUUUACAAUGCCAUUUUUGGACGUCAAUUUUGCAACAUGAUAUUUAAUUGCCAACAAACUGUAGUAUACAUUAUUUUCUCUGUCGAUUAUAAUAAGAUUAUAUUUUAGAAUGUAGCAUAUAUAUGAAAAAAAAUAACAGUCAUGUGUUUUUUUAUUUCAAUAUAUGUCAAGUGAUAUAUCAUUUUUACAAUAUCAUUUUUGGACAUCAGUUUUGCGAAAUGACAUUUUUGAAAUUCCAUUUUUGUGCCAAUAUUGUUUUCGCAUGGCGAGUGAAGAAUCAUUUUGAUAUAUUAUAUCCCAAUAAAACCAAACUUAUUAGAUUAAAUUUUGGAAAUACAAAACAAGCUGUUUAGAUUAACUCAUUAAAAUCAACAUGCUUAAUAUCUAAUCACGUGGAGUAAUUUGAAUGCUGCCAAUGAAUCUAAUUAAAAAGAGUCAGUUAACCACUCUCUCCAUAGAUUACCUAGAGACAGAAAUGUGAAUACAGAUACGCUUUACGUGGAUAUAUUAUUUUCGAAGAAACAAGGAUACGUGGAUACGUCCAUAUAUAUAAAAAUAAAAAAUACACAUGAUUAAAUAAGUGCAAAGUUAGUGUAAAAGAAUAGAAAAUCAGCACAAAUUAGAGUAUCGACUGAAGUGGCAGGUUAGUUUGCUGAAGAAAAUCAGCACAACAGUGAACAACUGAAAGGUCAAAGCCGGAAUUUACUUCUUGUCAGAAAAAAAAAACUCAAAGGCCAAAGCUCUCUCCUCCAACGUCAUGAAUAUAUCCACUGACAUCAAUAGCCACACUAGCAAUUGGAGUGUUGAAUGCAGCAGUACUACUCAAUAUUUUAUGGUACCUGCUAUAUGUCAAGCCUAUGUAGGAACUCCACCUAGUAGGUACUUCUGAUGGUGAUUAGUGAACAUGAUGGAACACGAUUGCUCUAGAGCCAUGUGUACACGUGUCGACCAGGGGAUUGAGGUGCAUAUGAACCGCGGUUCAUAUUAUCCAACUCAUAUAUAUAUAUAUAUAUACUAGAAAAAAAUGCCCGUGCGUUGCAACGGGUAAAAAUAUUUUUGGAUGUCUACAUUUUACUCUUUGGUUUUGGACCAAAAGCUCGUUCUUUCGGCUCAUUCAUUCCUCUCUUUUUUUCAGCCCCAGCCUAGCCAGCUACCUCCCUCUGCUUGGUCGCCUCUCUUUUGACCCAACUCACAAGUCGAGCUGUGUAGGUCCAGCUCGCAUACCCGACUAUUGUCUUCAACCUCCGAAAGACAGUCUCAUAUAAGUACGCCAAAACCGAUUGUCCCCAUCAAAUCCGGUCGAUUGGUUGAGGGCUUUUGAUACACUCGAUCUCCUCUUUCCUUUGUAUCAAAAUUGGAGCGAAUCCGCAAAACUCGGAAAUAAAAACAGUGACUUUCGAAUGGAGAUAAAAUUUGGUGAACUAAAACAGAACUAAAAGGGAAAAUCAUAGGGAUAAUAAUAAGGGAAUAGUGGGAAAUUAAUUUUUUAAUCAAUUCGAGGAGAAAACAUAUGGGCUGGAAACAUAUGAAGAGAUAGAUCUGACUGUGUACUAAAAACUGCAAAAGAAAAAUAAAGAGGACAAAAAAGAAAAAAAGAAAAAUAGACGGACAGAACAAAACGGAAAAAACGGAAAAAAAAAAAAGAGAAGCGGACAGAUAGGAAGGAAAUCCGGAAAAAAAAAGAGAACAGCGAAAAAAAAAAGUCGGACGAAAAGAAAGGAAAACAGGAAAAAAGAGAAAAUAGCGAAAAAAAAAGAGACGGACGAAACUUUUUACCGGAAGCCUUACGUAUUUUUUAAUUAGGUAUAGAUAUAGAUAUAGAUAGGAAAAUGAUUCUAUGCUCCUGGGAGUACGUACUCCUGCUAUAUCCACCGUCGAUCCAAAGCAUCUCAAUGAGCCUGCACGAUUUUACUAUCGGAUCCCAUCGAACGAACCCGUUUCAAUUUUACGUGAAAAAUGAAUUCACAUAUAAUCCUUAAUUAUCCCAUACAACUCGGAUCUGGAACGAACAGCUUACAUAAAUCCGGCACCGCCACUACUGGCCUGCCAUUUGACAUUUCUUGGCGGUGGCAAGAUCGACUCCAGAUCGUCGUUUCUAGGCGGCGCGCAGCGCACCGGCUCGACGACGGUUGGUCCAAUUCAGUGUCCGACAGGGAGAAAGAGGCAUCAUCAUGUACAUCCGUUGCACCGAUGGGAGACUAAAACGAUGCUAUUAUCCCGUCCUAAACCAAAGCCAGAUCAGACGAGGCUUUGCUUGAUAUGAACGAAAUCGGCGGCGGCGGCACGGCGGCAGACUCACGGUGCAACCCAUCGUCCAUCCAACCGACGACACGAUCGUCCCCCAGCGACGUCAUUGGCAAGCAGGCGGUGGGCUUUCCGUGAUGGCGUCGGUCCAUAUCCAUCGGAAGGCUCGUGCGUAUGUCGUAUAGGCAGCGACCUCUCAUCAGCAGGUCACAACGUCAUCCACGGCAUUGAUGAGGCAAGAUUGAUGUGGCAGCUAGCCCGAUGCUGCACAAAACGAUGGUUGCCAACCGGCGUCAGAACAUGUUGACCCCAAUGACUCAAAUGCUUUCCUCAACCCUGCAACAAGCUAGCGUAGAGGGUCUGCGCCAUGGGAAAAAGCCCUUGUUUGGAAACUGUGAUUUAGUGGGGAAACUAUUCUAAUCCCUCGAGGGGAUGUUCCCUCGUUUACUCAAAAACCAUCUAAACAGUUAUGAAAAAUU